rnacentral:rRNA from 1 species
UUGACCUCGAAUCAGGUAGGAAUACCCGCUGAACUUAAGCAUAUCAAUAAGCCGGAGG